rnacentral:rRNA from 1 species
GACGAACGCUGGCGGCGUGCUUAACACAUGCAAGUCGCACGAGUGGCGCACGGGUGAGUAACACGUGGGUGAUCUGCCUUGCACUUCGGGAUAAGCUUGGGAAACUGGGUCUCAUACCGGAUAGUGCAAGAUGAGCUCGCGGCCUAUCAGCUGGUUGGUGGUGUAAUGGCGACCAAGGCGCGACGGGUAGCCGGCCUGAGAGGAUGACCAGCCACAACGGGACUGAGACACGGCCCGGACUCCUACGGGAGGCAGCAGGGGGGAAUAUUGCGCAAUGGGGGCAACCCGGACGCAGCCAUGCCGCGUGAAUGAAGAAGGCCUUCGGGUUGUAAAGUUCUUUCGGGAUUGAGGCGUUAAAUACAGAAGAAGCACCUGCUAACUCCGUGCCAGCAGCCGCGGUAAUUC